AUUGCAUAACUGGGGAGCUUGUGGCCGACGGCACAGCAGGCUGAGAGGGGACUCGUGGUCCCGACCCGUGAACCUGAUUUGGAUAAUGCCAACGUAGGGAGCAGCGCUUCGCCACAG
rfam:Mitsuokella multacida DSM 20544 genomic scaffold Scfld0, whole genome shotgun sequence.